GGAGGGGCAUAAGCACAAAGUCGUAUUUGCCUUCUUUAUUAGUCGUUAACCCCCAAAUCUCAUAAUUCGAUAUACAUAAGCCAAAACCACAGAAGUUGGCCAUUUGGUCCCAUGUGUCCAGAUGAGUCAUCAUACCACAGGAAGAUCUCUAGUGAGCCUAACAUCAGCUCACUAUGACUUCACUAAGGCUCCUAGGAGCAGACACUACAAGCUGCCUACAUGAGGCUGCCUACAGAAAGCUCCUAUUCUGUUUUUCAUUCUAGUUAGUGUCUGCUUCCCUCGGUAGUUCGGGUAAAUCCUGUCUGUUGUAACCUACUCAUGAAGAUUCCCCUCUUCCUCAUAAUUGUUUUGGACCAAGGGGACCAGGAAAUGUGUUGGCAAGUCUGUGGAGAACAUCUUGGAGAGCAUCAUUGUAACUCCUGAAGUGGCUCAAGAAGAAACACGGUUUCUUCUAUCUCUGCCAAGCACUGACGACACAAGGCCAGUGGGUCUCAACGGUCGUCUGUGUCUUAUGUCUUAUCUACCUGGAAAACAACCCAGAAGUGCAGCAGCUGCUAGAAGGGUCUCAGUGUGGCCCAGAAGUGCCAGCCUGAGCAAGCAUCUGCGGUGACUCCAGGCGCAUAUGCAGGCGAGUGACUCCAGAUUGCACACUGAUCCCAAGGCACAGAUAGAAAACAUCUAAUUAUCAUAGUAGAUUUAAGCUGGAUCAACACAGACAUGCGCAUGGUUGCCUGUAAUUUUGAUGUUCCCCCUGAGGUCUGGAACAGACCCAAGUUCUCCAUGACUUGGAUACAUUUUAGUAAUCAUUUUGCUUUAGAGGUCAGGAGUUUUAAUGUUUCCCCUAAAAGCCUCUGCCAAUUCCCCAGAUGUACUUUUUCUUGAGAUUAAAUAUAAAAUUCCUAGAAAUUUUAUAUAAAUAUAAAACUUUAUAAAAUAUAAAACAAACAGUUAUCAUACAUAUUGCCUGACUUUGUACCAAAGGCUGAGAUCUACAGGCAGAAGAGUAGGUAAGGAGAGAAGUAAACACUGGGUUUUCCAGCAGUCGGCCCUGAAACCAAAACUUAGGAAGGAAGCUGCCCAUUAAGCAAGUGGCCAGGGAACAAUAGCCCAGGCCAAUCCUAGGCUCAGUCUGAACCUGAGAACACUGGAAUUAAACAACGCUGCCCCAGGUUCAGUUUCCCUUACAGCUGGGCUCUAAAAUAAGGGCCACAGUGUAAGUGGAGCUCAGCUCAAGUGUGGUCUGAGAACUCCCCUGAGCGCCACUGAAAACUCAUCUGGAAGCCAGCUCUGUGGCCCAAAGGCUGCUUCACCUCAGCAGCUCCAACCCACAGUAAGGAACAGGAGUGAGGUGACUGGUAGACAUCCUGAUGCUUAAAUGAACAAGGAAAUGGCAGAAGGCCAAGGCACCCAUCACCAAAUUACACAAAGGGCUCCAGAUAUGAAAUAAACAAACCCCGGGGACGGGUUGGGGGAAACAAAGCAACAGGUCCACACCACGGGCACAACCUGCAUGUUCUCCAGCUGUAUUAUGUCCUGAAUUAGAAAGAGCAUGGACUACUGUAUUAUUGCUUUAACUGUUUUCUUCUUUAGAGUCUCAAUCCUCGGGACAAUUUACAAAUGGAAAAAUUUCGAUUUGGGUUCUGUUGGAUCACCACUGAUUUUUGAUCCAACUAAGCCCAUUCCGAUCUCAUUGCAUGUAAAGAACCAGCUUUCAGUUAGUGUCCAGCCCUUCUCUCUCCCACCUGCUCCCAGCAGGCUUCACGGCCAUUUGAAAUUAAGAGGCUGCUGCACCUCCUCAUAUACUCAGCAGAGAGUGCCCCUGGAACCUCCUACUUUAAUGAGUACCUGAAGGAUGCAAAGCUCUGUUUGCAAUGACAGAAACCAGCUUUCUAGGGUAGCAAAUGCUCAACUCUGGGUUGUUUGGAGCAAGCACCAAGUUCAUUUCAGAGCACUGGGAACUGCUUUCUGUGCUCCCAUUACUUUAAGCAAACGUCAUGGUGUUCUUUGGACAUUCUGGAGGUAUUCUCCCUGCAAACUCACGUGUCCUGGACCAUGCUUCCUAAUUAUUUCUGAAUAUGCAGUCCAGCUAUGACAUCACAAAAAAGUAAUUAAUAAUGGAAAAUUCCUCGGCUCUGCCCUCUUGCUUCUCACCAAUGCACAAAAUACCCUUGGUUCUUUAUAACAGCCUUAUAAAUCUUUAUGGUAUAUGUAUGUGCACCCCACAAUGGAAGGUAGCAUGAGAUGCUUAACAGAUGAGGGAAAACUAACCACAACAGUCUCCCGCAGGUGAGCGUCGGCUUGUCCCAAAGGUUUGGUUUAAUGGCAUGAGCAAAGCACUGGUUAAGGGAAGAUUUACAGCACGUCAGUUCAGGGAGGGUGGGGCUUAAUGAAUGAGUAAAGUCUACAUUGACACUCCACCACCACCAUCUUACUAUAAUGAAGAAUACUUAAUUUAAGAAAGGUCAGAACACAGCAUACACGUAAUGACUAACACCAAUUCCUCAAGGCUAUUCGGAAAUGGGUGAGGCAACAGAAAACACUAAAAUUAAAAAGCAUCACAGUGCUGUUAAAACUUCUAGCACAAAAACUAGCCCCUUAUUCAACACUUGGGUGAUGUUGCAGGUCAAGAGGACAUUUGCCAAAAACAAGUCCCUUGUUCUCUAGGCUUCUUCAAAGGCUUUAAUAAGGUAAGCUUAAAAAUCAAUGGCCUAAUAGAUGAAGACAAGAUCCAUACUUGGUGAAUGAGGAACCGAAGAAGUGGGUAAAGCUGUGGCUUGUCCGUGGUUUAAGAACAGACACUUCUGGAACCAGGGCAUUCUUGCUCCAAAUCCAAGUUCUAUAACCACACAACAUAUCACUUUUCCUCAGACAACAAAAGAAGGUCUAAACCCUGAAAACUUCACGGUAACCAGGAAUAAUGGCUGACAUAGUCUGGAUUGGAGAGUCACCCUGCAACCUCUGGUGAGCUGCACUGUGGCCUUCUUGUGGUUCCUUGGCAAAGGCCGCUUGGCACGAAACGUGUUCUCUACAGUCACCACUGCACGAAUUUGUUUCCUGAGCCUCCAGCCUACCUGACGUCACAGUGGGAGACACACACUGACUUCCUGUGGGGGUCAGAACUCUCCUGGGUUAGGAGAGAGUUGUAGUGGGGGAGGAACCUACUUUGCCAGGUGGUUCAUGAGCAGCUGCAACAUCUGCCGAUUCUUCUCUGGGAGCCGAUGAACAAGGCUAUGGAUCUCAGAGACGCGAGUCUCUUGGUUUUCCAGCUCUGUGAAAAAGAGGGGUACCAUUUUAUUGGAGUCACAGCUAAGUUACUGGACAAGACCAAGGGGGAACUAAAGCCUUGGCAGUAACAUGGGAAGGAUGUUCUUGAGGAUUCACCACUGUGCCUCACAUGCGUGCUUAGGACCAGCGUGGCAGGCUCCACAAGGCCUUUCAGUGUGCUUUCUGUACCAGAGUUCAUCCAGCUAAUGAUUGUGAUGAAAUGGAGCUGGUCAACCACAUACCCAGGGAAGGAACAAACACGGGAGCAGCUGGCUCCCUAGAGGGCCAACUUCAUUUCAAGGAAAGAAGGAACUUUAUGCACUUGUGAAGUGGUAAACAGAUCUUAUGUGAACAUCACCAAGGUCUCAAAUUUCAAAAUGAUGUAUCCAGAUGCACAAAAAACCACCACCAUGCUUAAGUUACAAGUAACACACCAGCUGAAUAUGAAGAACACAGUGGCAGAUAGAACAUUCAAAUCUUUCUAUCACUCUGUAGCCUGCACUUUUUGAUUCAAAUUGGGAAGCUUUGUUUCUCUGGGAAAUAAACUGCUAAUACUCACCAUAUCUAUUUAUAGAACUGAUGUGAGGUUUAACUAGAGAAUGGUUGCUAUGGGUUUGGAAUUUCUCUUGAGAAAGAAUCCACAUAAACACCAUCUUCAUUCCUAGCUCUCUCCCGUGCCUUUCUCUUCCUUGUUGGAAAGAACGAGCUCAGGUAUAUGAGACUAGCGGAACAUUGGGUUCUAAAAAAUUAGGCCAAUAGUAGUUACCAGGGUAAACAAACCCUAAAGGCUAAAAGUAUCCAGGGAGAGGCACAAGCUAUGGGCAUCAUAAUACCAAGAGCAGUCCUGCCAGGUUUAAAUCUGAUAGAGAAUCUAACUGCCCAUCGCUGCUGGUCUGCCCGACGUAGACAGAUUCCAAUAGACUUAGGGCAGCUUGAACCUAAUCCCUAUGUGUUUUAAUAGCAGUAAUGUGAACUAGGACUGAGAUGAUAUAGACAAAGAAUGAUCAGAAGCUGUAAAUGGAAGACAUGGUGGAAAAGGACUGUUACACAAAGGGUGCCAUACUCAAAGAAACACUUCUGCUGCUCAGUUUAUGAGACACACAAUGUCUAAUUCAUUUUGUGGAAUGUUACUUUAAGGAUGGAAAGCUCCAAGAAGUUACAACUCCAAUUAUCAAAACUAGAAAGGCAAAAUUGCUUUUCUGUCUCAUCUCACUUUUCUUCUGCUCCCUUCCCUUCCAACCAAGAAAACCAGCUCUUAAGUUUUUUUCUUCCACCAGGAAGUGGCAGUGUUAGUAAGGCCCCUGGCGGUCUUGAUUCUACUUCGUUUUCAGUUUGUGACAGAGUCUCGUCGGCUUGUAGGCAGACAUUCAUAUGCAGACUGUGACAGGCUAGGUAGUAUUUAUAUUGGGAUUCUGGGUGUUCCUCGAAAUAGAAAAAUCUAUUCUUUUCUCCUUGAAACUUCAACUAAAAGAUGCUUACUUGCAGCCUUGAUGAAACUUCUUUGAAACUGGUACAUCAUGAGCGGUCCUGGAAGCAUUCUAGAAUAAAAAUAUACACACAGACAGGUCAGCUCCACAGUAAAAUGGUCCCUCUUACUGAGCAGCACCCUGAGUACUGCAAAACAGCACAGCACCUUUCAAACACUCAGGGCGAGGAGAAACAGCAGCUCGGGGUAGCAGUGGGACAGAAAGCACGUGACAUUUCACCUGAAAUCCUGUUUCACAGUUUCCUCACCU